AUUGAACGCUGGCGGCAUGCCUUACACAUGCAAGUCGAACGGCAGCACGGGAGCAAUCCUGGUGGCGAGUGGCGAACGGGUGAGUAAUACAUCGGAACGUGCUCGGUAGUGGGGGAUAACCCGGCGAAAGCCGGACUAAUACCGCAUACGACCUGAGGGUGAAAGCGGGGGAUCGCAAGACCUUGCGCUACAGGAGCGGCCGAUGUCAGAUUAGCUAGUUGGGGGGUAAAGGCCUACCAAGGCGACGAUCUGUAGCUGGUCUGAGAGGACGACCAGCCACACUGGGACUGAGACACGGCCCAGACUCCUACGGGAGCAGCAGUGGGGAAUUUGGACAAUGGGCGCAAGCCUGAUCCAGCCAUGCCGCGUGCGGGAAGAAGGCC
rnacentral:rRNA from 1 species